CUCCCAGCGCUGCCUGGCGGCGAGGGCGAUCCGGCUUCCUGGCCGCACGCCGCCUUGGAGCCUCGGGGAGCGGCUGGCGGUGUUCCUGCAGGCAGUGGCCUUGCAGCUCCUCAGCUGGAUCCUGGUUUUGGACCUGUGUGGGAUGCCAGUGAUGUGGCGGUAGGUGAUGGAGAUUUCUCUUCUCCUCUGGACCCUGGAUUUGAACCCGGCGGGGAG